rnacentral:rRNA from 1 species
GUUAACGCUGGCGGCGUGCCUAACACAUGCAAGUCGAGCGGAACAUUCGGUGUAGCAAUACAUCGGAUGUUUAGCGGCAGACGGGUGAGUAACACGUGAGCAAUCUUCCCUAAAGAGGGGGAUAACUUACCGAAAGGUAAGCUAAUACCCCAUACCUCCCACCGCAAGGUGGGAUGAAAGCCGCAAGGCGCUUUAGGAGGGGCUCGCGGCCUAUCAGCUAGUUGGCGGGAUAACAGCCCACCAAGGCGAUGACGGGUAGCCGGCCUGAAAGGGCGAACGGCCACAAGGGCACUGAGACACGGGCCCUACUCCUACGGGAGGCAGCAGUGGGGAAUUUUGGUCAAUGGGCGCAAGCCUGAACCAGCAACGCCGCGUGAGGGAUGAAGUCCUUCGGGAUGUAAACCUCUUUUGAUCCUGACGAACACUGACGGUAAGGGUCGAAUAAGCAACGGCUAACUACGU